UGAAAAGAAGAAGAAAAAAAC
rnacentral:sRNA from 1 species